AUGGACCUGAUAUCAGACAAGACACCCCCUUUC
rnacentral:rRNA from 1 species